rnacentral:misc_RNA from 1 species
AUUGAAUGUUGCAGUUAGAAAAGGUAAGUCGUUGGUGCAACUUCGGGACAGCCUGAAGCAAUCAAUUGAAGAACUGAAUGGUGAAGUUGAGCGGUUAAAGUCCGAAAUCAGAUUGCAGGAAAAUGCUAUUUCAAACUAUGAAGGAAGGAUAAAAGAUUUAUCUGUAUACCCUGAGAGGAUAAAGACAAUAGAAUCUGAGUGUUCAAUCCUGAGAGAUCAGUUGGAAGAAAA